rnacentral:rRNA from 1 species
AACGAACGCUGGCGGCGCGUCUUAAACAUGCAAGUCGAACGAUCUGUAGCAAUACAGGGAGUGGCGGACGGGUGAGGAACACGUAGGAAUCUACCUUGAAGAGCGGGACAACUUUGGGAAACCGGGGCUAAUACCGCAUAGUACAGAGAUGUUAAAGGGCUAGCAAUAGUCGCUUCGAGAUGAGCCUGCGGUCUAUCAGCUUGUUGGUGAGGUAAUGGCUCACCAAGGCUACGACGGAUAGCCGGUCUGAGAGGAUGAUCGGCCACACUGGCACUGAGACACGGGCCAGACUCCUACGGGAGGCAGCAGUUAAGAAUCUUGCGCAAUGGGGGAAACCCCUGACGCAGCGACGCCGCGUGAAGGAUGAAGGCUUUCGGGUUGUAAACUUUGGAGACGUGGAAGAAGAAUACGUCGUUGA